rnacentral:rRNA from 1 species
GUCCACGCCGUAAACGAUGAAUACUAGUUAUUGGGGGUAUUGACUCCCUCAGUGACGCAGCUAACGCAUUAAGUAUUCCGCCUGGGGAGUACGGUCGCAAGACUAAAACUCAAACAAAUUGACGGGGGCCCCGCACAAGCGGUGGAUUAUGUGGUUUAAUUCGAAGCAACGCGCAGAACCUUACCUAGGCUUGAACUCCUCAGAAUCCGGCGUAAUGGCUGGAGUGUCCGCAAGGAAAUUGAGUGAGAGGUGCUGCAUGGCUGUCGU